rnacentral:rRNA from 1 species
GACGAACGCUGGCGGCGUGCCUAAUACAUGCAAGUAGAACGCUGAAGGAGGAGCUUGCUUCUCUGGAUGAGUUGCGAACGGGUGAGUAACGCGUAGGUAACCUGCCUGGUAGCGGGGGAUAACUAUUGGAAACGAUAGCUAAUACCGCAUAAGAGUAGAUGUUGCAUGACAUUUGCUUAAAAGGUGCAAUUGCAUCACUACCAGAUGGACCUGCGUUGUAUUAGCUAGUUGGUGGGGUAACGGCUUACCAAGGCGACGAUACAUAGCCGACCUGAGAGGGUGAUCGGCCACACUGGGACUGAGACACGGCCCAGACUCCUACGGGAGGCAGCAGUAGGGAAUCUUCGGCAAUGGACGGAAGUCUGACCGAGCAACGCCGCGUGAGUGAAGAAGGUUUUCGGAUCGUAAAGCUCUGUUGUAAGAGGAGAACGAGUGUGAGAGUGGAAAGUUCACACUGUGACGGUAUCUUACCAGAAAGGGACGGCUAACUACGUG